rnacentral:rRNA from 1 species
AUUGAACGCUGGCGGCAUGCCUUACACAUGCAAGUCGAACGGUAACAGGUCUUCGGAUGCUGACGAGUGGCGAACGGGUGAGUAAUACAUCGGAACGUGCCUAGUAGUGGGGGAUAACUACUCGAAAGAGUGGCUAAUACCGCAUGAGAUCUACGGAUGAAAGCAGGGGAUCGCAAGACCUUGUGCUACUAGAGCGGCCGAUGGCAGAUUAGGUAGGUGGUGGGAUAAAAGCUUACCAAGCCGACGGUCUGUAGCUGGUCUGAGAGGACGAUCAGCCACACUGGGACUGAGACAAGGCCCAGAGUCCUACGGGAGGCAGCAGUGGGGAAUUUUGGACAAUGGGCGAAAGCCUGAUCCAGCAAUGCCGCGUGCAGGAUGAAGGCCUUCGGGUUGUAAACUGCUUUUGUACGGAACGAGAAGCCCCGGGUUAAUACCCUGGGGUCAUGACGGUACCGUAAGAAUAAGCACCGGCUAACUACGUGCCAGCCGCCGCGGUAA